AUCGCUGCCGACGAUCCUCAUCGAUGUAAGAGAAUCCGCCGCAUAGUUUGAUUAUGCUUUUCCAUAGCGAAGAGUCCUAUGAGGCAGUACUCACCGACGAUCCUCAUUGCGUAGAAGCCAUUUCUUCUUCUUUGGGUUAAGCCAGUGAAAAAGUUAAGCUAGGGAGCGAGGAAUUUGGGAAAAGCUAGGAAGGUUUCGUUAGAUAAGAAGAUGAAGUAAUCUAUUGACUAAUUCCAAGACUAUAUUUCCUUUAUUUUGUACCUAUGACUAAAGUAUG